UAGAGCAAUUUUGUAACUCAUUGUAAUUUGAACGUAUUUAAAUUCUCUUUGACUAUGUAAUUAAUUUUUUACUGUACUGUUAUAGUCUUAAUUACCUAUAUCUUUUAAAAUAUCAAUUUCGUUAUCUGUAGUAUUUAUUGGUAUUUAACUACUUAUAUAUAAAACUUAAUAUAUAUUAAACAUGUUUCGGCCGGCUGGACUGUCCGAUGAAGAUUCUGAUAGUGAUGAUUAUGGUUAUUGUGAGAAACCGAUAAAAAAAUUCAAUUAUGCAGCACAAGAAAACAUUAAAAAGAAAACUGAAAAUAGGCUCCAGGAUGCUAUCAUUAAUGGAAAUCUUAAGGAAGUUGAAAAAAUUGUAUCAUUAGAUCUGAAUAAUAAUAUCAAUAUGCAUCUAGAAAGUGAUUGGACAGGUCUAAUGCAUGCAUGCUUUCAUGCCCAGAAGAAAAUAGUGGAUUUCUUUUUGGAGAAAGGUGCAGAUCCUAAUGUCCAUGCAGAUUCUGUUACUCCAGUCAUGGUGGCAUGUUCCAACAGAUGUAAUGAAACAGAUGUACACGACAUAGUGUCCAGUUUAAUAGAACAUGACUGUCUGCUGAAUGUGGGAGACAAGUACGGAGAGACUGCACUCAUGAGAGCCAUCGCUAGUGGACUGACUUCUGUGGUGGAACUAAUACUAAGUACCGACGUCAAUAUUGAAAUGAGGGAUCGCCAGGGAUGGACGGCUGUAUUCUGGGCAGUUCAUCAUAAUAAACCAAAAAUAUUGGAAUUACUGAUUGGGAAAGGUGCUCGGUUAUCAGAAGUUGAUAUGCAAAGCAGAACUCCUUUGGAUAUCGCUGAGUCUCACGAGUUUAAUGAUAUAACGGACAUUUUAAAAAGAUAUAUCAAAAAAGAUGACAGUGAAGACACAAAUGAAUGUGACGAGAAUGUCAUAACGCCAUGGCAACACUACUAUCCAGGAAUCACAAGUAAUGAAAGGCCAAACUAUAGUGGUGAAAUAAGUCACCUUCUCUACGGAAUGAACUGUGCGCGGCUUCAGCGUAUUUUCAAUGAAAGUAGAGUCGAUUUAAGGACGUUUCUCUUACUUGAAGAUGAUGAUAUGAUUAACAUGGGUGUAGAGAUGCCCUUCGAGAGACAGAGGCUUAGAGUCGGUCUCCGAGCAUUUCACACGCGGGCCUGGAAGUUGACAUCUGUGGUUGGAUUGCAGAUGCGACAAUGUGAUCACUUCAGUGUAGGCGGUUCCUUAGCUAUGUUGGGAAGUCACUUACAUCAGUUGUACGUCCUGGAGGCCACGCUUCAUUACGUACUGCGAGACUUUUGUAAAAUUCAAAACCAGAUUAAAUUCGAGCCCCCGGACUCACCCGUUAUUGAGAAACUGCAUUCGGGCGGAGCAGCACUGUUACAAAAUAUAUGUAGGUUGAGGAAGGAAGUUAAAAUUAUGACAGAAACACACGACAAGGAGGACAAACGAGCGUACGGGUCACCUGGUGUUAAGUGAUACUCUCCUGCAACACCAGAGGAAUCACAAGAGCGUUGCCGGCCUUUAAUUUAUAAGUAAAAGUAACCCAACUCCGGCUGAUCUUAUUCAGGAGAAGUCGACCAAAGAAGUUAUAUUAGCUUAUGCUUCAGAUGUUGUUAAGAUUUGUUCACUCGGAUUCCUCAUUUAUUAUGUUAAAAAUCAUAUAAUUGUUCCUUCAAUAAAAUAAUUAUUUUAAGAUCAAA